CCACAGUUGAGAGAGUAAACAGGAGCCAGUCUCGAUGCUCUGCCUCCCAAGCUGUGUGCCUGGGCGGUUUGGGAGCGAUGUUCUCCUGCAGGAAGAGCCUUUUAUGAACAUCACUGAAAAGGCUGGGCAAGACGAAACCUGUGAAGAAGGAAGAUCUCCAUGGCUGCCCUUAGCGUGGAAUGUGUUCUUCACACCCUUACAAACAGCUUUCAAGUGUUCAGCCUGUGGAGUUGAAGCAGAAGAUCGGAAACCAGAGAAAAGUAUGCAGAAGAAAAUAAAAUUCAUCAAUAAUUGUACCAACCAGAGGUAACAAUUUUGGUUAUCUGUGGUCUGUUUGCUUUGAUUAUAAAAGUCCUAUCUGUUGUUUUCCAUCAAUCAUCUAUCUACAUAAACAAAAUUGGGAUCAUACAUUUAGCCAUAGGCCGCCAAUAUCAUUCCCUGCUGAUAUGUAAAAAUUUUAAAAACCAUGUGUGCAAUUUUCCAUCAGAUGGGUGCACCACUAAGCAUUCUGUAUGCCUUGUCCAAUCUUAAAGGGACUAGGGUCACCUUGGAACUUUGCACUGUCUGAUGUCAAACUUCAUUAUGCUCCAGGUCAGGCAUCAUAAAAUUAAUAAAUUCAAAGUUUGGGAAAACAGGGAAAAACAAUGCCCUAAUCCAUUUUCAUUUUUAUUUCCCACUGGCCUUUGUCCAAAUGCAUAAAUAUUCUAACAUGAUUACAAUCAUAAUGUACAUUUGCAUCUUAUUAUAUUGUAAACAUUUUAAAGCUGAUUAAUGAUUUUCUUUUUUUUUUUCCGAGAUGGAGUCUUGCUCUGUCACCCAGGCUGGAGUGCAAUGGUGCAAUCUCGGCUCACUGCAACUUCUGCUUCCCGGGUUCAAGUGAUUCUUGUGCCUCAGCCUGCCAAGUAGCUGGGAUUACAGGUGCGCGCCACCAUGCCAGGCUAAUUUUUGUAUUUUCAGUAGAGAUGGGGUUUCACCACAUUGCCCACACUGGUCUGAACUCCUGACCUCAGGUAAUCCACCUGCCUCAGCCUCCCAAAGUGCUGGGAUUACAGGCGUGAGCCACUGUGCCUGGCCUUGAGUUUCAUAAUUUUUAAUGACUGGGUAAUAGUCCUCUCAGUAGACAUAAUUAUUUAAUUUGUCAUUAUCCUAUUGUUACUUUUUUUGAAAUUAUGAAUAAUUCUGCGAUGACUGUCUUCAUCAUGAUAGCUUUAUCCUUCAUUUGGACUACUUCCUUAGAUAAAGUCUCAGCAGGGGGUAAUAGGGUCUGCUUAAACUGUAGCAGUAAUGUAAAUAUCAAUUGCUUGCCUUAGUUUCUGGGAGUGGAUUUACAUUCAGUCUGUUAUUGAGUACCUUUAAAAAAAACUUUUUUUUUUUUUUUUCAGAGGCAGGGUCUAUCUGUGUCACUCAGGCUGGAAUGCAGUGGUGUGCCCGUAGCUCACUGCUGCCUCAAACUCCUGGGCUCGUGCAAUCCUCCCGCCUCAGCCUCCUGAGUAGCUGGGGCUACAGGUGCAUGCCACCUCACCUGGCUAAUUAUUUUAUUCUAUUUUUGUAGAGAUGGGGUCUUGCUUUGUUGCCCAGGCUGGUCUUGAACUCCUGGCUUCAAGGGAUCCUCUGGUUUCAGCCUCCCAAAGUGCUGGAAUUACAGGCAUAAGGCACCAUGCCCAGCCUGUUAUUGAGUAUUUUUUAAAUUGAACUUCACUCUUAUUAAUAGAAAACAUGUUGACUUUGAUAGUAGCAUAAUUUGGACAAGAAUUAAGCAGAUUUUAAAUGAGACACUGCUUGAUUUGUGUAGAGGUAUUUUUGAGUAAAUGCUUCUUUUUUCCCUGUAAUUCAUCCACACGCAACUAGAAACUUGAGAGGAUGAAGAAGCAUUCAUGGAAAACUAACAAUGUUAGUUUUUAAGGCACGCAAUUGAUAUUUACAUUACUGCUAGAGUUUAGGCAGACCCUAUUACCCCCUGCUAAGAGUUUAUCUAAGGAAAUAGUCCAAAUGAAAGAUAAAGCUAUCAUCCUAAAGAUGUUCAUUGCAAAAAAACAAUUAACUAUGAUGAUUAGCAUCGUACCUGGCAGAGCCUCUUCACAUUUGUGGAUUUCAGUGGCUAUGUGAGUUUUGAAAGACCAGUAUCUUUUUUUUUUUUGGAGAUGGAGUCGCACUCUGUCGCCCAGGCUGGAGUGCAGUGGCACUAUCUUGGCUCAUUGCAACCUCUGCCUCCCAGGUUCAAGUGAUUCUCCUGCUUCAGCCUGCCAAGUAGCUGAGACUACAGGUGUGCACUGCCACACCCGGCUAAUUUUUGUAUUUUUAGUAGAGACGGGUGUUCACCAUGUUGGCCAGGCUGGUCUCAAAAUACUGACCUCAGGUGAUCCACCCACCUUGGCCUCCCAAAUUGCUGGGAUUACAGGCAUGAGCCACCACGCCUGGCCAAGACCAGUAUCUGUUUUAUGUGUGUCUUUGAUAUGUGUGGAAAUGAGGAAAUUCAAGAAGUAAAUGGCAGGACCAUGAAAAUUCUUCCUUAGUUUCUACUUAAACAAAUUUAGAUUCAGCACAGUAUUUAGUAAACGGUGCAUGAUGGCAGGAGUCUAAAAGCUAACCUACAUUAGCUCAGAAGGUGUGGUCCACAGAAUGGACCUGGAAUGCCUUGGGCUACUGCCCUCAGUUGCAUUCUGUCCUACGAAAGAGCUCAUGGCUCAAGCUUUCCAAAUUAAUAAAUACAGAGUUUCUAAAAAUAUAAAAUAAAUAAGAGCAAAUUGCAACAGUAAAACCUUAAUAUCAACAAUCUGCUGUGGAGACUGAAGAAAUAUAUUCUCCAUCACUGACAUAUACCUCAUUUCUAUUAGCAGACAGUGAGUGAACGCUCAUUGUGAUUGUCAUUACAUUGCAGACUUUUACUACCCACUGUGGAUACUUUUGAAAAAUAUAUCUUGAUUGACUGAUAUUUCUUUCUCUCAUUUACCUCCUCUCCAUACCUAAAGAAGCUAUCCAGGGAAGAAAGAAAACUGGAUGUGUAAUUCUAUUUAAUUUGUUUUAUAUUUAUUCCUCAAAUCACUCGUUUCUUUGAAAUAAAA
rnacentral:lncRNA from 10 species